UACGGAGGGUGCAAACGUUGCUCGGAAUCAUUGGGCGUAAAGCGCACGUAGGCGGCCAUUCAAGUCGGGGGUGAAAGCCUGUGGCUCAACCACAGAAUUGCCUUCGAUACUGUUUGGCUUGAGUAUGGCAGAGGUCAGUGGAACUGCGAGUGUAGAGGUGAAAUUCGUAGAUAUUCGCAAGAACACCAGUGGCGAAGGCGGCUGACUGGGCCAUUACUGACGCUGAGGCGCGAAAGCGUGGGGAGCAAACAGGG
rnacentral:rRNA from 1 species